rnacentral:rRNA from 1 species
UGGGGAAUAUUGGGCAAUGGAGGCAACUCUGACCCAGCCAUGCCGCGUGGGUGACGAAGGUCUUCGGAUUGUAAAGCCCUUUCGGCGGGGACGAUGAUGACGGUACCCGCAGAAGAAGCCCCGGCUAACUUCGUGCCAGCAGCCGCGGUAAUACGAAGGGGGCUAGCGUUGUUCGGAAUUACUGGGCGUAAAGGGCGUGUAGGCGGCCCGUUAAGACAGGUGUGAAAUUCCUGGGCUCAACCCAGGACGUGCGCCUGUGACUGGCGGCUUGAAUCCGGGAGAGGAUGGUGGAACUCCCAGUGUAGAGGUGAAAUUCGUAGAUAUUGGGAAGAACACCCGUGGCGAAGGCGGCCAUCUGGACCGGUAUUGACGCUAAGGCGCGACAGCGUGGGGAGCAAACA